GACCUCGCUGGUGUAGUGGUAGCACAAGUCACCGGUAUGGAUAAAACGCGGGUUCAACUCCCGGCUGAGGUCG